CGGGGCCUACGGGGGGCAGCAGUGGGGGAUAUUGCACAAUGGGGGGAACCCUGAUGCAGCGACGCCGCGUGGGUGAAGAAGCGCCUCGGCGCGUAAAGCCCUGUCAGCAGGGAAGAAAAUGACGGUACCUGAAGAAGAAGCCCCGGCUAACUACGUGCCAGCAGCCGCGGUAAUACGUAGGGGGCAAGCGUUAUCCGGAUUUACUGGGUGUAAAGGGGGCGCAGACGGCGAUGCAAGCCUGGAGUGAAAGCCCGGGGCCCAACCCCGGGACUGCCCUUGGAACUGCGCGGUCGGAGUGCAGGAGG
rnacentral:rRNA from 1 species